AUAUAAAUGCUCGAUGUAAGAACGGAAAGUUUAUCAUUUGAGUGAUUUUUUGUGAAAAAAACAUGUUCAAAGUCUUUCUGUUUGCUGUCCUUGCAGUGGCUUUUGCCUUUCUGCUCGAGGAUUUCGGGUGCUUUCCAGCAGCUUCUGCCCAUCCAGUAGACGUGAGCGAUGUCACUAAAUACACUUAUAUGGUAAAGGGACUUCUUGGUAAAGUUACUGGCGACGAUCGAAAGUAAUUCCUCCAACGAUGCGGCGUCUGGCAAAGUGAUUCACUAAAUAUGAAUAAUAAAAUUCCUAGCAAAGUGAUUGAGUUUUGUUUCACUG